rnacentral:rRNA from 1 species
UACGUAGGGUGCAAGCGUUGUCCGGAAUCAUUGGGCGUAAAGCGCGCGUAGGUGGCUCUGUAAGUCCGUUGUGAAAGUCAAAGGCUCAACCUUUGAAUGCCGAUGGAUACUGCAGAGCUAGAGUACGGAAGAGGCGAGUGGAAUUCCUGGUGUAGCGGUGGAAUGCGCAGAUAUCAGGAGGAACACCAAUAGCGAAGGCAGCUCGCUGGGCAUGUCCUGACGCUGAGGAGCGAAAGUGUGGGGAGCGAACAGG